AAUACCUUUUGAUUCAUGGAAUUUGAUAAAGAUAUUAGGAAAAAUAUAAUUUAAAAUUCAAGAUUUGAAUAUUUUAUGCAAUAAUGAUCAUUAAAAAUAUAAAAUUAUCAGAAGUUUAAUAAAGAAGUUACUCAUUAAAAUUACAACUAUAGUCAACUAAAAUCAAUUCCAUUUCCAAUCGAUGAUUUAACAAAAAAUAUUGCUAUAAAAAACCGAACACUAUCAACAAGAAUUGAUCCUACGUAGAUAAGAUGAUUGAUCAAAAAUUUUAAAAGAUUUAAAUUGCCGAAUGAUGAAAAUUUUAUUGCGAAUAAUAACCCAAAAAUACUGAUACUACAAUGGACUAAUGCAUAUCUUAUUAUUGAUUAUUUAAAAUUAAGUUUGGUUAUAUAUAAUUUCGUUGAGAAUCUUUUGAAUUUAAAUUAUGUUUUGUUUCGAAAUUUGUGGCAACAGAAAAAGAAGUCGAUUUCAGUGUUGGCCGUCGAGAUUGAGAAGUUGCAAGCAGUUGCUCAUUAUUUCUCAAAAAUGGACAACUAGGAAAUUAAAAAAUUUUUACAUUUCGUAUCUUUAAGAGUUGUCUUCAUUAAAAUUUGGAAAUGACUGUAUCUCAAGAGAUUAAACAAAAUAAAUCGAAAUACUUCAAUAAUAAACCAAUAAUAAACUGAAAAGAAGGAAUGAAGAAACAAAUCUGUGUUAAGCGAGAAGCAAGGACAUUUUCAAAAAGAUUGUCAUAAGAAAAAGAAGAAGGAAAACCAGAAGAAAUCGAUAUAAGAGUAUCCUAUGUAAUAUAGCAUCAUAUUGAAUAUAGCAGCAAAUUGAACAAAGUUUGAUUAAAACUGUCGCGAAUAAGACAUCCAGGUUUUUUUUUUAAAGGAGAGGAUAAUGUUACGAACGUUGACAAUUAUAGUGUGAAAUAGUAUGAAUCGCGAUACGGGAAACGACAAUAUUUGUUGUUAUUGAUAUCGAAGAUAUUAAUUAAAUGAAACCAUUUUUCGGACAUGGAACGAUCGUGUGUUUUUCCUAAGCAAAUAUUAUAUUGUUUCAUAAAUAACGAAAUAAAGUGUAAAUAAUUAUAAGUAAAUUAAGUGUUGAAAUAUAAAAAAGUUUGUAAAUAAAGAAAUAUAAUGAAAAAUUGAAUGUCGAACGUAACAAUAUUUUGCAAAUAACAUAUUUUUAUUGUUUCUAGUAAUUCUAUUCCAAUUUGUGUUGUAAAUAUAGAAAAUAAAUGUUUAUUUGU